rnacentral:lncRNA from 1 species
AGAUCGCUAGUCACGAUUGUGUUUAAGUAAACCCUAGGUUGGAUUAACAUGCGUAUUCCAUAGUUAUGAAUGCCUAGUCGAUGUUUUUGAUUUCCGUUGAACUUAAUGAUCUUUGUUGAAUGUCUCUAUCAUGCGUAUUCCAUAGUUAGGGGCUUUGAUGAGGAAUAAUUUGGUUGUAAUGCGUAUCCCAUUCAAUCCAAUGAAUCUAGGGAAAUCUGAAAGUUAAUUUAAGCGAACCUAAUUAACUUGAAGCAUUGUCAUUCAUUGUUUGUUGAAGUCAUAACUGGGAAUCAAAUUAUAUGCAUAUGUUCAUGUGUGAAUAAGGAACCCUCUAACUAGUUUCUCAUCAUUCUAUUUCAUCACAAUCUGUUUUGCUUUACAUUUGUUUUCAAGGUUAAGUUUUAAAGUUUUAAUUUCGUCCAAAUCAAUCCCCCAUUUAUUUUAAAGUGUUAGAUUAGUUAGAAAUCAAUUUAGUUUGUGUUUUUAAGUGUCUUGAGUCAAGUUUUAGUCCAAUUUCGUCCAAAUUAGUGUUAGGUACUCAAAACUGCCCAGAAAGUGGUUUUGAGGCAGUUUUGAGUCUUUUAGUUGCUGUUUUGAGUUUUUGGUUUGUUUAGGUGUUUUAAACUCUAGUUUUGCAUUAAUUGAGUCUAGUUUAGUGUUCUACAUUAUGUUUUUAUGUUCUUGAGUCAGUUUCACAUUGAUUAGCAUCCCUAGUUAAUCCCCGGUCUAGAACGAUCCCUAUUUGCUCAUAUACUACAAUUGUCAUCCAUAGGGUUUAAUUUGUGUGUCAAGUUAAUUUUCACAUCACACUUUGAGGAGCAUGUCGUGGAGAAUGUACCCGUCCAUGCCGUGGGCCCUGUACAAGCUUAAAUGGAGGUAUCGUUCGGCUGGAAGACAUUAAAGCGAGCGCUUCUUGGGAGGCAACUUAUGUAUUCAAAUAAGGAAGAUUUUUGAAUUGCUCCACAAUCAGUUUUGCGUUUCUACAAACCUUCCCUUGUCUGUAGUUUUAUUUUGCCAUGAUUGUCAUUUUUAUUUGUUGCUUGUUUAAUUGUUUUUGGUGUGGGUUUAUUUUUGAAACACUGACAGUUAUGCAAGGUAUUUUUACAUUCAUAAAAAAAAAAUGAACAUUAAGCAAAUAAAUAGAAGAGGGAGCCUUCACAAAGGCUGCUUAGGAGAAGUCUCAGUAGUCGGCGGAGCCCUAGAAGGAGGAGGCAUCAGAGGUUGAUCAUUUGGAGCUUCAUUACACGUUACAGCCCCAGAAGACGAAGGCAAAUGUUGUUGGAACAACCCCACAAAUCUCUGAUGAUCAAGUAAAAUCUGACCAUCAGAUUCCUGCAUCUGGUCAAUUUUCCUCUUCAUGUUUAUGGCAUAGUUGUGUGCGAGCUUAUGCAACUAUUUAUUCUCAUGCUUGAGCCCUCUAAUCUCCUGUUUGAGACUCAUCACUUCAGCCGCCAAUGAUUCAACUUGACAGGUUCGAGCAAAUAGGCGUUGGGCCAUAUUGGACACAGAACCGGCACACUGCACACUGAGAGCCAGAGAAUCCUUAACAGCUAGCUCAUCAGACCGUUUGGAAAGCAGUCUGUUAUCUUUAGGAGUGACAAGGUUCCGGGCCACCACCGCAGCAGUCAUGUCAUUCUUCAUCACCGAAUCCCCAACGGUAAGAGGACCGGUAGGGGAUAUGAAGGAUGGGCGCCAUAUAUUGUCUGGAGAAGGCAUGGCAGCCUCUUCACCAAGGUUCAAGUUAAAACGACGGUCGGAAGGGCCAGACAUUUUCAAAGGUGUUGAAGAAAGAAGAGGUCGGACAAGUCAAGAUAUUAGAAGUGCAAGAAGGGAGUUUAUACAAGCGCAAAUUCAAGUGUGCUUUGAAAUGAAUUGCGUGCUUCCAUAAAAAUCAACACUCAACGGGAUUUCAGAUAUCGAAGAGGCGAGCUCAGAAUUCAAAGAGGCCAAUUCAAAAAUCGAAGAGGCGCUAGCUUUCUCAAAAGUUAGGCUUGCCCAAAAACCACGGGCCAUCCUCUGUUCUAGAUUUGUCCGCACUCGUCACAUGCAACCUCUGCACUCGACGGAGCUCAGAACUCGAAGAGGCAAGCUCAAAACUCGAAGAGGCAAGCUCAAAAAUCAGAGAGCCAUCUGCUUUUCCAGACGUGUUAGUAUCUCUCACAUGCAUGCUCAGCUUUGCGAAAAUCACAUGCAGUUUGUCGAAGCGCCGAUUCCAGAUAUCGAAGAGGCAUCUGCUUUAUCCAGACGUGUCAACAUCUGUCAUAUGCACGCUCAGCUUUACUGAAAUCACGAGCACUCUGUCGAAUAUUUCUGGUGAAGUAGAAAGCACGUGAAGUUUACUGUUCAAUCAUCCAACGGUUGCCGACAAGAGUGAAAAAAUAGUACCGGUUAUUAUUUCCUAUAAAUGUCGGCCUUCACCCUCCAUAGCAAGGCAGACAUACAUAACAUUCCGUCAUCUCCGAGAAUGUCUUCCCAACAAAGCCUCUCGAGUCACUCAGUGUUCCUUAUUCCUUGGGGUACCUUUGCAAACAACUAAUCCAAAGCAAAAGUAUUUCAUAUCAUGAAGGUUGAAAGCAAGAGUAUCUCAUAUCAUGCUUUCUCCCUGUCCUUCUCCUUGUCGUUGUUUUCAUUUGCAGGACAAGGAGAAAGAGAGCAAUCAGCCAGCACUUGGUAUCAAUCUUCCGAUCUGGAAUCGACUGCCUGGAACCCCUUCCUGAUUGCUUACCUAGCCCUGCUCUCGAGUACUCAUCUUCAACAUCUUAUGCUUCCUCUUCGUCUACCACAUCUGCCUGGGGAACAGAUAAGGGAAGUGAAAAUGAUACCUCGAAGCAUGUGGAGACAAGGUACUAAUUCAUCCUCAACUAGGGACAAGGAGAAAGAAAGCAAGAGGUGGGCACUUGGAAAGAUUGAAGAAAGAAAUAGACCAACACCUCUACCUCGUGCCUGCCCGCCGUGCAGAAGAAACAAGCAGAGAAAAAUGCAGACUGCACAACCAAAUCAACCCAGCAGAAGGAGUCUGAUUUGAAACCAAGGAACUCUCAUAUUCCUCGCUCAGAAUUCCAAACCAGUUCGAGAUCAAAGCUGUGGAAAGAUAACAAGAUCAUCUAUCUCCAAAACCAGAUUUGCGUUCUUAAACUCUACUCUGUCUAAUUUUUACUUUGCCAUACUUGUCAUGUUUAUUCGUUGUUUGUUUGUGUGAGUUUAUGCUUGAAACAUUGAAGACAAUGCUUGAUUUAAGUGUGGGGGGGGGGGGGUAACCAUUGUUUUGCAUGAAAUUCUUUGCAUGAAAUUCGUAGGAGUUUAUCACCCAUUACUUCUAGUGUUGUUCCUUGCUGUUUUAAGUGUUUUUAAGCUGUUUUGGAGUGUUUCAGUGUGUUUUGACAUAAAAAUCCGAAAAUCUCAUAAAAAUUUGAAAAAUUGUUUUGAAAAACCUAAAAAUAGUUGUUUUUGUAUAUUUAUUUGUGUCUUAGGGUACCUUCCAACACAAUGAUGAGGAUUUGAUUUACUCUUUGGUGUAUGCUUGGUUGUGGUUAUAAUUUAUGAAUUCACAUGCAAUCAUAAAGGAAAAAUCAGUUUUGUAACAUGCUUGAAAGAAGGAACUCAAAUGUACGCUACAACCUUGUGAGACUUGAGCCUAAACGUUUAUUUGGAGAGUUAAUAAUCUGUGCAUCAUUGUUUUCUAAAGUCGUUGCAUGAUCUCAUUAUUCUUUGCUUGGUUGCUACUUAGAAGGCAUUUCAUCAGUUAGUUCCAAAUGCUAGAACUCAUGCCUAUUUCAUUCAAAGCAUGUUAUUGAUUUGCAUAAUACAUAUUCAAGAUGAAGUUGUGUAGUGACCACCACAGCCAAAUUGUCGUGCCCUAUUUCAUUAUGUGUUUAAGUUUAACCCCAUUGAGCCUUGUGUAGCCUAUGUUCUUUGUUAACCCACAAUAUCCUCACCUAGCCUAGAUUAGGACCAUCCAUACCCUUGUUCUUGAAGCAUAGUAAAACAUAAUUUAGAAGGAAUUUCUUUUGUUGAACUUUUGAAAAAAACAAGUGUGGGGGAAGUGAUUCUUGUGUGUGUGUGUGUGCCAAAGUCCUUAAUAAGGCACGGGUAGAAAAGAAAAAGGAAAAAAAAAACAUUCGUGGAAAAUAGAAUGAAAAAAAGAAAAGUUGUGAAAAAGAGCCCUAAGUGUUGCAUGAAUCUUUCCUUUGUAUUUAAAAGUUGAUUCUGCAUUCUAAAGUGAAUUCCAAAGUGUCUAUUUCAUUGCUUUGUGAUCGGAUCAUAUUUACAUAUAUUUUUACUUCAAAUUCACUCGUCUUUUCUUAGUUAGUUUCUUAUAUUUUCGAGCUAUUUACGUUAUUUUCGUGUUUAUAGGAUUUGUUAUGCAAAGAAAAUAAAAAUGGCACAAAUUAGUUUUAAAUAGUAAACAGAAAAUUGUGGAACACGGGUGGACCACGAGAAAAAUAAUGGAGAGCAUAAAAAUAUAUAUAUAUAUAUAUAUAUAUAUAUAUAUAUAUAUAAUAUAUAUACAUUUAUAAUAUAUAGAUAUAUAUAUAUAAAUAUAAUAUAUAAAUAUAAUAUAUAUAUUUAUAUUUAUAAUGGGAUGUUGAAAUGGAAUAGGGUUGGUGAGCACUGACGGGGAGAAAAGCUGCUUAGUGCAGCGGAAAAGAAAAAUAAAUAAAACGCUGCCUGCGCAGCACAAAAGGGGGAAACCAAGAGCUCUGGCUGCUCUUGGCAGCGUGAUUUAGUGCAGACGGAAAGAGCUGCCUUUGGGCAGCGUGAGCUGGAGAUAGAGCGAAAAACAGAAAGCUGCUUUGCUGCUCGGGAAGGCUGCUUGGAGAGACAGAGGGCGCGCAGAAAUAGGCGGGAGAGAGAGGAAACAGAAACACAGAGAGACUGAGGAGGACAGAGAACAGAGAGCAGCUCGCAGGGGUUCAAAGGCACGGACAGAAAUACCCUUUCUCUCUCGGUUAAAAUCUUUCCAACUUAUGUUUUACUUUUGGUUUAAUUUGAUAAUAAUGUGUAACUAAAUUUAUUUUGGCUAGAGGUUAAUUCAAAACCAUGAAUAUAUUUGUAAUGUGAAUUGAUUACCUUCAGUUGUGAUUUAUAAGUUGUGAUUUAAUUUGCUUAACUGCUUGAUUGAUAACUUAUUUUUGUAUGUCGAUUAAGAAUGCAUGCUUAAUUUACAUGCAUGAAUUUGAUGCUAGAAUAUAAGUGAAUUUCACCUAAUCGUUAUGAACUUAUAUUCACAAGUAGUGAAGGUUGUUAUCCACAAUCGUGUUAAGUAAAUUCUUGGCAUAAGUUUCAUGCAAAUCAUAGUAACGAGUGCCUCGUCAAUGCUUAUGUUUUUCAUAGAACUUAAUGAUUCUUGCUUGUAUCUCUAUUAUGCAAUUCAUGUAGGGAACUUGUAGGGAAUGUUUUGGGUUGUCGUAUGCAAUCAUCCAACCCAAUAACUUGUGGAAAAACUGAGGGUUAAUUAGUGCAAUUCACGGUUAAUUUGGGGCGUUGAGAUUUACAAUUUAUUGAAAGAACAACUGAAAAUCAAUUUAGGUUGCAUAUGUGUCAUGUGUGGAGAAGAACCCUCUAGCUAGUCUGUCAUUUAUCAUUUUACCUUACUUUUAUGUUUUUGUCAAUUCUGUAAUUUAUUUAAGUUUAAUUUACUUCUCGUCAAAACCAAUCACCCCCAUUAUUAAAUUAUAUUAUUUAGUUAGUUUUCAUUGUUUUUAGUCUUUUAAUUCAAUUUCCGUCCAUUUCAAUUCCUAGUGUCUAUUUUGAUUGUUUUUAUUAUUUUGAGUCAUUUUAAGUGUGUUUCGAAUUAUUAGAGUUUUUAGCCUAGUUUUGUGUCCUUGAGUCUUGUUUAAUAUUUUUAACUUUGUUUUUUAUGUUUUUAAGAGGUUUUAGCAAGCCCUCCUAAUCCCCGGCCUAGAACGAUACCCUACUUAUACUUAUACUACAAUUGACAAAAAGAGGGUUUAAUUUGUGUGUCAAGUAAUUUUCGCAUCAAAUUUUGGCGCCGUUGCCGGGGAUUAGCAACUUUGCUAAUCCUUUUAUUUUUGUUUUUGCUUAUGUUUAUUUGUGUUUGUGUAUGUUACUUUUGAUAUUUGAUUUAUUUUUCUUUCUUUGAAUUGAGGUACAAAUGGAGCAAGACCUGGAUUCUACUAGCUUUCAAGAUCUAUUGGCACAGCUCACUGCUCAAUUAACUCAUAAUGCCGAACGGACCACAAUGCCAAGUGUCCCUACAUUUGAUGUGCCCUAUGGGCAAGGAUAUCAAGGUCCUCAAUUUUCUGCCAAUGAAGAUGUUUGGGGAUAUCAAGGUCAUAACCAAUCAAGGGGCAACAUGUUUUCCAAUGCUUACAAUUCUGAUUGGAGAGGUAAUUCAGAUUACAUGUGGGGAGAACCUCAACAAUUCCAACAAGGUGGAUAUUGGCAGCAAGAAGACGCGUUCUAUUCAAGACCUAUGCAGCCACCACAGCAUCCCCCACAACAAUUCCAAUCGAAUCAAAGUAUGCCCGUGGAUUAUAAUCAAAUGCUUGAAGAAUUAAUUUCUUCGGUACAGGGUUCACAAAAAGAAGAACAAUUGCCGCCAUCGGAAGAGUUCUAUCAGCGGCCAUAUGAACCGUCACAGCCACCACAACAUUCAACCCAAUUUAAUUCAGGUACAUCCUUGGUUAAUGAUACACUUAAUAAUUUACUCACCUCUUUGAAUCAGGGAGUAGAAAAUCAAAACCAGGAGAUGCAAGACCGAGUCAGAAGAGUGGACGAAUUGGAUAUGCAUGUUGGGCAGAUUAUGGAAUUCAUGGCACAGAUUCAAGAGCAAAGUGAUGUCUCCAAUUCAACCAUUGCAAAUUCAAAGGCAGAAGUUAAAAUCGAUGAAGCCAUCACUUUGGAAGGUGACAUGGAGGAUGAAGUUGUCCCAGAACCAUCCAAACACAGCCCGAACAGGGAUGAAUUACUGCUGCAAGCAGAAGAUGAGGAGGACGACCUGGGCAGUUUAGAAGAAUUCUUGCGGCAAACUCCGGAAGUCCAUAUGUCAUCCAACUCAGGUGAGGAAGUUCCCAUUUCAUUUCAUUCUAAUGAUAUUCCUAUUCUUGGUGCAACAAAGCAGGUCCUAGAUCGUGUUGAAUAUUUCAAAGGCCUUUGUUUCCCAAGAAAAAUGAUUCAAGAGAAUGAAGUGGUGGAAGCAUGUCAAGAAUACAUCCAAGGGGCUGUGCAUGAGACAAUCAAGCCCAAAGCCGUUGAGUUUUGAUGACCCGGGACAAGCCACAACCAUCAUAGUAAACCUGGCCAAGUUCAAAGUCCCGGAAAUGUUCAAAAAUGUGGUGUUUGUCAUUGAGUUUGUGCCGGAAAAAGAAAGUAAGCCAUCUUCUCCAAUUUUAAUUUUUAUUUAUACUAACAUUUUUCUGAUUUUGAUGAUUCAGGCACCCACUCGUGAAUUCAAACCAUUGCCGAAUCAUUUCAAGUAUCACCUCCCAUUAAAAGAUAAAUUCCAUGCUUUGGAGCCGAGGGGAGUUUAAAGGAAAGAUUCGUCCGGCUAAAGACGUUAAAUCAAGCGCUUCUUGGGAGGCAACCCAAGCAUUCAACGAAGGGAGACUUUGAAAUUGCUCAACAAAUCUUUUUCCGAUCAGAUUUGCAUUCCUAAACCCUUCUCUUUACUGCAUUUAUUUUACCUUGUUUAAGUUCAUUAACUGUUAGUUUACUUGCGUGUGAAUCUUGUUUAGGGUAGAUAAAGUCUCUUUACAUUAAUUUACAUAUAUAAAAAAAAAUAAUAAUAAUAAAAAAAAAAAAAAAAAAAGAUAAAAUUUAAAAUUAAUGAUAAAAAAAAAAAAAAAAAAAAAAAAAAAAAAAAAACAUAAAAGUACAAAUAUUUUACAAUGAUGUAAACUAAUAGUAUUCAUUGGUCGGGUAGUGCUUCAGUAGUCGGAGGGGCUUCAGCAGUCGGCGGGGCCACAGAAUGAGGAGGCGGCAGAGGUUGAUCAGUUGGAGCUUCACUACGCGGUGCCGCUCCAGAAGACGAAGGCAGAUGUUGUUGGAACAAACCCACAAACCUCCGAUGAUCAAGUAAAAUUUGACCAUCGGUGUCCUGCAUCUGGU